AAUUUGUCUACAGGGUGAGUAAAAAAAAACUGAUACCUUUGAUAUUCAAAUUAUAACAAAGGUGUCAGUUUUUUUUUACUCACCCUGUAUAGAGCG
rnacentral:miRNA from 1 species